rnacentral:lncRNA from 1 species
GGAGUCACGGUUAGGGAUGAAAUGUUAGGAGGCAACCCAAACCUGUUCGAAUUUGAGAGGUAUUGCCAUGCCUUGAUUGAUUUGUGGGAUGAUGUAAUCCAUGAGGAGUCUGAAGAGGAACCUUUAGCUGAGGAAGAAGAACCCGAGGAUGAUUUAGAGAAUGAUCCUGAGCCUGAGCCACAGGUUGAGAUGGACAUAGAGUCCGGACCUGAGGCGGAAGACUCCUCUGA